UGGGCCAAUGUAUUGAACAUAACAAAGAUCUUCUCCGGGUAGAGACAUAAUAGGAAUUGCCCAGAGCCCUUUCAUUACAUCAUCAUCCAGCAAGGCUCAACCA